rnacentral:rRNA from 1 species
AUUGAACGCUGGCGGCAUGCUUUACACAUGCAAGUCGAACGGUAACAGGUUAAGCUGACGAGUGGCGAACGGGUGAGUAAUGCAUCGGAACGUGCCCAAUCGUGGGGGAUAACACUUCGAAAGAAGUGCUAAUACCGCAUACGAUCUGAGGAUGAAAGCGGGGGACCGUAAGGCCUCGCGCGAUCGGAGCGGCCGAUGUCAGAUUAGGUAGUUGGUGGGGUAAAGGCUCACCAAGCCGACUAUCUGUAGCUGGUCUGAGAGGACGACCAGCCACACUGGGACUGAGACCCGGCCCAGGCUCCUACGGGAGGCAGCAGUGGGGAAUUUUGGACAAUGGGCGCAAGCCUGAUCCAGCAAUGCCGCGUGCAGGAAGAAGGCCUUCGGGUUGUAAACUGCUUUUGUACGGAGCGAAAAGGCUCCCUCUAAUACAGGGGGCUCAUGACGGUACCGUAAGAAUAAGCACCGGCUAACUACGUGCCAGCCGCCGCCGUAA